CUUUGCCGUGCCUCAUCAACGUAAAGCUAUCAGAACAACAGUAAAGAAACGAAAAGAGACUGACUCCCACCGUCACUGACACCACCGUCAAACACAAAGAGUCCCACAAUUUACACUUGACCCCCCCACUGUCACUGACACCACCGGACCGUAUCACCCCCACCUGAUUCUCCCCCUUUUUCUCUCUCUAAUCCUACAAAUAACCCUUUGCAUUUCCACACACAAAUUGCACCACAAAAUCAAAAAUUUAACUCACAUACCCACAUUUAUUUCAUAUUAUUUGAAUAUUUGUUCUUAUUUCUUCACAAUUUAAUGUUUUUCACUUGCAUUCAAUGAUGAUCAUGCUUCAAAAGUUGCGGCUUUGAUUGCUGUUAAAAAUGGCUUGGAUGAUCCUCAUGGAGCUUUUAGUAAUUGGGAUGAAGACUCUGUUGACCCUUGUAGCUGGGCUAGGAUUAUUUGUUCCCCUGAUAAUCUUGUCACUGGCCUUGGAGCUCCUAGCCAGGGUUUAUCAGGAACAUUAUCAGAGGUUAUUGCUAAUCUCAUUAAUCUCCGUCAAGUGUUGUUGCAGAACAAUAAUAUUUCCGGCCAAAUUCCGGCAGGAAUAGGGCACCUAAAGAAGCUGCAAACAUUGGAUUUAUCAAACAACAAAUUAACAGGUCAUGUACCUGAAUCACUAAGUCUUUUAACCAGCCUGCAAUACCUAAGAUUAAAUAACAACAGAUUGUCUGUCUGGAGCUAUUCCCUUGUCUUUAGCUUCUGCUCCUCAACUUGCACUCUUAAGAGAUUUGUCCUGUCCCCGAGUUUUCAGCAAGAACUUUCAAUAUUGUGGGUAAUAAUAUGAUUUGUGGGAGUCGUGCUAACGAAGGUUGUUACGGGUCAACUUUGCCUGAGCCGCUUUCUUUUGAGCUUAAUUCACCAUCAGGGAAAGGUAAGUCGAAAAGGGUUGCGAUUGCUCUUGGAAUUAGUCUCGGUUGUCUCGUGCUUCUCGUUGUGUCUCUUGGAGUUCUCUUGUGGAAGAGAAGCCGAAACAAGAAGCAAAGCGUUCUUGAUAUUAAUGUGACAAGAUUAUCAGGGGAACAAGUAAUCCUAGCCCAGCUACAAGGGUCAACAGAGUCUUCAUCCCAAUUACUAAAAGCUCCAUGAGGAUCAUCCAAGCCAUUUUUAACAGCAAUCAAAGCCGCAACUGCACAAAAAAAUUCAAGAAAUCAAAAACCCACAAAAUAUAUUCAAAAUAAAAGUUAAAAAAAGAGGCUUUUUUAAAGAAAGAUUGAAUCAAAACCUUCAGGAUUACGAGCUUCAUAACAAAAACAGAGAGUAGGAAACAGGGGAACAAAACAGAGGAUUAAAAAUCUCAUCUUUUGAAGCAUGAUCAUCAUUGAAUGCAAGUGAAAAACAUUAAAUUGUGAAGAAAUAAGAACAAAUAUUCAAAUAAUAUGAAAUAAAUGUGGGUAUGUGAGUUAAAUU